rnacentral:rRNA from 1 species
UCGAGAAUCAUUCGCAAUGGGCGAAAGCCUGACGAUGCGACGCUGCGUGAACGAUGAAGGCCCUCGGGUCGUAAAGUUCUUUCGCUUGGGAACAAGAGAUGGGUGCCAAUAUCACUCAAAUUUGAGGGUACCAAGUAAAGAAGCACCGGCUAACUCCGUGCCAGCAGCUGCGGUAAUACGGAGGGUGCAAGCGUUAAUCGGAUUUAUUGGGCGUAAAGGGGGCGCAGGCGGGGAGAUAAGUCAGAUGUGAAAGCCCAGGGCUCAACCUUGGAACAGCAUUUGAAACUGUCUCUCUUGAGGGUAGGCGGAGAAAACGGAAUUCCACAAGUAGCGGUGAAAUGCGUAGAUAUGUGGAAGAACACCCGUGGCGAAAGCGGUUUUCUAGCUUAUACCUGACGCUGAGGCCCGAAAGCUAGGGGAGCAAACA